AUUACUGUGAAGCCCAGAACAAGAUAGGACGUCAUAAAUCCACCUUACAUCUGAUUGUUGUGAAAGGGAAAUCAAUGAAUUUCAUCAACUUGAUUCUGAUGCUGAUUCCUGUGUUUCUCUUGCCUCCUCUGCUUCUCUUGAUUCUCUGGAUAAGGAAGAAGAAAACUCUGAGCUCCACCACUGAACUGAAUGAAUAUGUUGGGACUAUAGAGGUG